AAUCUUUCGUGGUUUGUAAGUGUGAUAAUUGGGUUUUCACACACACGCGUGAGGUGUGCCACCCUCAAACCUUGCUGUGAUGUCGGCACUUACCCAUCUGACA
ensembl:snoRNA